AGCGAACGCUGGCGGCAGGCCUAAUACAUGCAAGUCGAACGGAUCCUUCGGGAUUAGUGGCGGACGGGUGAGUAACACGUGGGAACGUGCCCUUUGGUUCGGAACAACUCAGGGAAACUUGAGCUAAUACCGGAUAAGCCCUUCGGGGAAAGAUUAUCGCCAUUGGAGCGGCCCGCGUCUGAUUAGCUAGUUGGUGGGGUAAAGGCCUACCAAGGCGACGAUCAGUAGCUGGUCUGAGAGGANGAUCAGCCACACUGGGACUGAGACACGGCCCAGACUCCUACGGGAGGCAGCAGUAGGGAAUCUUGCGCAAUGGGCGAAAGCCUGACGCAGCCAUGCCGCGUGAAUGAUGAAGGUCUUAGGAUUGUAAAAUUCUUUCAGCGGGGACGAUAAUGACGGUACCCGCAGAAGAAGCCCCGGCUAACUUCGUGCCAGCCGCCGCGGUAAC
rnacentral:rRNA from 1 species